ensembl:lncRNA
AGAAAGAUACAAUGAAAUUCAUCUGCAACUGACAGAAAUAUGUAUUUCACACAAAAUGAUAAUGUUAUCGGUCUUUGAUAUUCACUAGGGUUUGCUUCCUACAUCCCCGCAGUGGAUAUCAACAUCUGUAGAUGAUCAAGUCCCAUUAUAUGCAAUGGUGUAAUAAAAUUGUGUUUCCUAUAUAAAAUGGCAAAAAUCUAGGUUUGCUUUUGGAUUUUAAAAAAACGAGUUUUCAAGCCAUAGAUUGUUGAAUCUGUAACUGCAGAGUCUAUGGAUAUCUAGUAGAGGAUGAUGGAAAAGAGAGCAUGAUGGAAAUGCAUGAGAAGUGGAUGCCAACCCAUGUUUUUGAAAUUUCCUCCAGUAGUGCAUUUCCAGUACCUGACUCCACUGCUUAAUACUAUUAUCAAAGCAUUGUGGCUACUAUUGAACCAAUUCCAAGUUCAUAUUUAAAGCAUCCACCAUACACAAUGGCUUGUUAUUGAUGUGCUGUAAUCAACAAUGUAAAGUGCAGCUAAUAAAAAGAACAGUCAGGUGAUAUGAAUGUUUUUUUUUAUUGUUUCAUCUAGGCUGGCUGUUUCAUCCAGAAUGGCUGUUUCACAGAAGUCAUCACUUGAUCAGUUUAAACAGAUUAGCAAGCUAUUUGUUUAUUUGUUUUACUCACUUCCUUUGCCAUGUUCUAUAUUGAUAGGACUGACCAAGCUGGAAAGUCCUGGUAAAAGAUGCCAUGGCUGCCAUUUGAGAACUGCUCAGUUCCAGACUGAGAAAAGGGCAAGAUGAUGAUGAUGAUGAUGAUGAUGAUGGUGAUGAAGAAGAAGAAGAAGAAGAAGAAGAAGAAGAAGAAGAAGAAGAAGAAGAAGAAGAAGAAGAAGAAGAAGUUUGGCUCAAUUAUUAUAACCAUAAUAUAGGCAUACCAACACUGGCCUGGUGACUUGCUUUGCACUAGAGAAGGUGUGUGAUCCAAUCAAUCUCUCUUAUUUCCUAACAAAGGAUUGGCUCAUAUCCUUGACAUGAAGUCUGAAAUGUAGUUUCAGAAGUUAUCUUUUAUUUUCUUUUUCUUUCUUUCAAUACUGAAUACAGAUCACCAGCCCUGUGUGUGUGUGUGUGUGUGUGUAUGAGAGAGAGAGAGAGAGAGAGAGAGAGAGAGAGAGAGAGAGCGCCUUCGCAAUGAGAGAGGAGAUUACAUGCAUGAUUAUCUUGAAAACAAUAUUCUAUUUUGUGCCACUGUUGCUUAUCUUUUGAGGUCAUGUGAGCCACCAUUCAUAAAAUGCUUUUGACAAAAUGCCAAAGCAAAUAAAAGUCGUCCCCCCAUAAGUGAUUUUGCCCUCUUUCAUUGCACAUGCUAGUUUCAGUACAGCAUUGGAUAUUAACAGAGAGAAACCAAUAAUAAAGCUGAGUUUGCAAAUGUAAAUAGUGAAACCUGGCUACUCGAUAAGGUCUAUAAAUCUCUACCCACAGGUUGUUGUUUAAUCUUUAUAUACAGGUGCGUCCCAAGGUUAUCUCCCUUGAGGGGCUUUUGGAACCUGUCAUCUGCUCAAUCUUUUAUCAGCAAAAAGCAUUUCCCCUUGUAACUUUUAUUGCUCUUUCUUUUCCAUGUUUCUUGUGAAACUUUUGUUGCCACAGGAGUGUGUAUCUCUCUCUCUCUCUCUCUCUCUCUCUCUCUCUCUCUCUAUAUAUAUAUAUAUAUAUAUAUAUAUAUAUAUAUAUAUAUAUAUAUUCAUUCCACUAUACCUUUCUCUAGCUACUUAUCUGGGGAGAACUACACACAGCUAGAACCGACCUAAGACUUUUUUGCUGAAGUGGAGCACAUUGGCCCUCCAUUACCUCUCAGUUAAAACUUUAGAAAGAAAGUCAGUGCUAUGCUGUGUAGUUGUUAAGAGUUCUGUGAAAAGUCUUGAAGAUUCUAUUAUUCACCAGUCUGUGAAAUUCAGAAAGUCAGAUAAUCUCAUGACCUGACAGGGUGUGUAAAUGGUGGGAUACAAAUGUGUGUAUUUGUGUAGCAGUAUGGUAUAAUGGUCUUUUUUUUGUAUAUAUAUUUUAUUAAAAUAUUUUCUUAUUACUUAUACAACGAAAGAGUGGGAACUAUUUAUUAAAGGAAAGUUUUGAAAAAAGAAGAAAAUAAUAAAAAAUAAAAAAUAAAAAUAAGAGAAAAGAGGGGGGAAGAAAACGGUAUUGGGCUUCCAUUCAUCUCUUAUUCCUGUUCCUUUUUCUUGAAAUACUCAUUGUUUUCAAUUCUCUCCCUUUUAUUUAUAAUAUUUUUAGUGUUUUCUCUCCUAAGGAUUGUACUUCAUCUUCAUAUAUUCUUCAAAUACUGACCAAUCCGUCAUUUUUACCCCCUUGCCAGUGUUCUUCUUCAAUAAAAACGUUAAUUGGUCCAUAUCCUUUAUCUCCCAAACUUUGUUUAACCAAUCUUCUCGUUCGGGGCUAUUUUCUUGCUUUCUUGGUAUAAUGGUCUUUAUGUUGUACUAAGGGCAUUGUUUACACUGGCCACAAAUCCUGAAUAAAAUCAAAAGUUGUUCUAUAACAUCCACAUGAUGCUGAGAGACUUCCAGCCCCCUAACACAGGAUAAAGCCAGAUUUUACCCUGUGUUAGCAGAAGUCAGAGCAUCCCCAAUACUCCAAAACUAGUCUGGUGUAAUUUGAAUCAGUCCAGCUAUUCAUAUCGGUCAGUGUUGCCGUCCUAUUUUCUCUGUGCUUCAUGGCACAUAAAAAAGGGGUGUCACUUAUGUCCUUUUCCCAGGUUGUGCAGCUCAACAAUAGCCAGGAGAUUUCCGGAGCUCUGUGGCUGCGUUUCUGUUGACAAACAACAGAAAAAAUGUUAUUGGGGUUUUCUUUUCUUUUCUUUCUUAUGCAAGUAAAAGCGGUGCCACAAGUAUUUUCCAAAAUGCAAAUUGCUUCCUGUUUUGAAAAGCAAAACACAGAAUGCUUCUCUUGAAACAUGGAGUGCAUCUGCCCUAGAAAGUUAUAGUAAUUUGAUACUACCUCUGUCA